GGGUUGUGAGGUUAAGCGACUAAGCGUACACGGUGGAUGCCCUGGCAGUCAGAGGCGAUGAAGGACGUGCUAAUCUGCGAUAAGCGCCGGUAAGGUGAUAUGAACCGUUAUAACCGGCGAUUUCCGAAUGGGGAAACCCAGUGUGAUUCGUCACACUAUCAUUAACUGAAUCCAUAGGUUAAUGAGGCGAACCGGGGGAACUGAAACAUCUAAGUACCCCGAGGAAAAGAAAUCAACCGAGAUUCCCCCAGUAGCGGCGAGCGAACGGGGAGGAGCCCAGAGCCUGAAUCAGCAUGUGUGUUAGUGGAAGCGUCUGGAAAGGCGCGCGAUACAGGGUGACAGCCCCGUACACAAAAGCGCAUGUGCUGUGAGCUCGAUGAGUAGGGCGGGACACGUGGUAUCCUGUCUGAAUAUGGGGGGACCAUCCUCCAAGGCUAAAUACUCCUGACUGACCGAUAGUGAACCAGUACCGUGAGGGAAAGGCGAAAAGAACCCCGGCGAGGGGAGUGAAAAAGAACCUGAAACCGUGUACGUACAAGCAGUGGGAGCCCCACCACUAAGCCAGUGGUGAACUCCACAUCCGCAUCCUUUGCUGAGGAUACGGUUAACGGAGCGAAAGCGACGUUCAACCGCAAAACAAGCAGAGGGGGCUUAGUGGUGGGGUGACUGCGUACCUUUUGUAUAAUGGGUCAGCGACUUAUAUUCUGUAGCAAGGUUAACCGUAUAGGGGAGCCGGAGGGAAACCGAGUCUUAAUUGGGCGUUAAGUUGCAGGGUAUAGACCCGAAACCCGGUGAUCUAGCCAUGGGCAGGUUGAAGGUUGGGUAACACUAACUGGAGGACCGAACCGACUAAUGUUGAAAAAUUAGCGGAUGACCUGUGGCUGGGGGUGAAAGGCCAAUCAAACCGGGAGAUAGCUGGUUCUCCCCGAAAGCUAUUUAGGUAGCGCCUCGUGAAUUCAUCUCCGGGGGUAGAGCACUGUUUCGGCUAGGGGGCCAUCCCGGCUUACCAACCCGAUGCAAACUGCGAAUACCGGAGAAUGUUAUCACGGGAGACACACGGCGGGUGCUAACGUCCGUCGUGAAGAGGGAAACAACCCAGACCGCCAGCUAAGGUCCCAAAGUCAUGGUUAAGUGGGAAACGAUGUGGGAAGGCCCAGACAGCCAGGAUGUUGGCUUAGAAGCAGCCAUCAUUUAAAGAAAGCGUAAUAGCUCACUGGUCGAGUCGGCCUGCGCGGAAGAUGUAACGGGGCUAAACCAUGCACCGAAGCUGCGGCAGCGAACGUAUCACCCAAGACAACUUUACGGAGUUGACGAUUGACGGAGCGAAGCGACGUCAAAGCGUUCAUUAAAGUCGAGUUGGCUUAGGGAUACGUUCGUUGGGUAGGGGAGCGUUCUGUAAGCCUGUGAAGGUGUGUCGUGAGGCAUGCUGGAGGUAUCAGAAGUGCGAAUGCUGACAUAAGUAACGAUAAAGCGGGUGAAAAGCCCGCUCGCCGGAAGACCAAGGGUUCCUGUCCAACGUUAAUCGGGGCAGGGUGAGUCGACCCCUAAGGCGAGGCCGAAAGGCGUAGUCGAUGGGAAACGGGUUAAUAUUCCCGUACUUGGUGUUACUGCGAAGGGGGGACGGAGAAGGCUAUGUUGGCCGGGCGACGGUUGUCCCGGUUUAAGCGUGUAGGUGUGUGUUCCAGGUAAAUCCGGUUCACUUUAACACUGAGGCGUGACGACGAGGCACUACGGUGCUGAAGCAACAAAUGCCCUGCUUCCAGGAAAAGCCUCUAAGCAUCAGGUAACAC
rnacentral:rRNA from 1 species